rnacentral:rRNA from 1 species
AUACGGAGGAUGCGAGCGUUAUCCGGAUUUAUUGGGUUUAAAGGGUGCGUAGGCUGUGCGUUAAGUCAGGGGCGAAAUGCCGUCGCUCAACGACGGAGCUGCCCUUGAUACUGGCGUGCUGGAGUACGGAUGCCGUUGGAGGAAUGAGUGGUGUAGCGGUGAAAUGCUUAGAUAUCACUCAGAACACCGAUUGCGAAGGCAUCUGACGAAUCCGUCACUGACGCUGAGGCACGAAAGCGUGGGGAUAGAACAGGAUUAGAUACCCUGGUAUUCCACGCCGUAAACGAUGAUGACUAACCGUCGGCGAUAGACAGCCGGUGGCCAAGCGAAAGCGAUAAGUCAUCCACCUGGGGAGUACGUCGGCAACGAUGAAACUCAAAGGAAUUGACGGGG